rnacentral:sRNA from 1 species
CUGCUGUAGUUGUAGUCUGUGUGGCUGCGGCAACAGUGGUCGCUGCUGCUGGGAAGGUUCUUGAUGCUGCUGCUGCAGCUGCUGUUUCAACGGCGGGAUUUACUGCUGCUGCUGCUGCUGCUGCUGCAGC